rnacentral:rRNA from 1 species
AGCAGCCGCGGUAAUUCCAGCUCCAAUAGCGUAUAUUAAAGUUGUUGCAGUUAAAAAGCUCGUAGUUGAAUUUCGGAAUCAAUGGAUCGGUCAUGCCACUCGGUGUGUACUGGUUUGAUUGGUUCUCACCUUCUAAGGAACCGUGAUGUCAUUAAUUUGGUGUCGCGGGGAAUUAGGACUGUUACCUUGAAAAAUUAGAGUGUUUAAAGCAAGCUCACGCUUGAAUACAUUAGCAUGGAAUAAUGAAAUAGGACAUUGUAUUCUAUUUUGUUGGUUUCUAGGAUCGAUGUAAUGAUUAAUAGGGAUAGUUGGGGGCAUUAGUAUUCAAUUGUCAGAGGUGAAAUUCUUGGAUUUAUUGAAGACUAACUACUGCGAAAGCAUUUGCCAAGGAUGUUUUCAUUAAUCAAGAACGAAAGUUAGGGGAUCGAAGACGAUCAGAUACCGUCGUAGUCUUAACCAUAAACUAUGCCGACUAGGGAUCGGAUGAUGUUAAUUUUUUAAUGACUCU